CUUGGCUCAGGACGAACGCUGGCGGCGUGCCUAAUACAUGCAAGUCGAGCGAAUCGAUGGGAGCUUGCUCCCUGAGAUUAGCGGCGGACGGGUGAGUAACACGUGGGCAACCUGCCUAUAAGACUGGGAUAACUUCGGGAAACCGGAGCUAAUACCGGAUACGUUCUUUUCUCGCAUGAGAGAAGAUGGAAAGACGGUUUACGCUGUCACUUAUAGAUGGGCCCGCGGCGCAUUAGCUAGUUGGUGAGGUAAUGGCUCACCAAGGCGACGAUGCGUAGCCGACCUGAGAGGGUGAUCGGCCACACUGGGACUGAGACACGGCCCAGACUCCUACGGGAGGCAGCAGUAGGGAAUCUUCCGCAAUGGACGAAAGUCUGACGGAGCAACGCCGCGUGAACGAAGAAGGCCUUCGGGUCGUAAAGUUCUGUUGUUAGGGAAGAACAAGUACCAGAGUAACUGCUGGUACCUUGACGGUACCUAACCAGAAAGCCACGGCUAACUACGUGCCAGCAGCCGCGGUAAUACGUAGGUGGCAAGCGUUGUCCGGAAUUAUUGGGCGUAAAGCGCGCGCAGGUGGUUCCUUAAGUCUGAUGUGAAAGCCCACGGCUCAACCGUGGAGGGUCAUUGGAAACUGGGGAACUUGAGUGCAGAAGAGGAAAGUGGAAUUCCAAGUGUAGCGGUGAAAUGCGUAGAGAUUUGGAGGAACACCAGUGGCGAAGGCGACUUUCUGGUCUGUAACUGACACU
rnacentral:rRNA from 1 species